UACGUAGGGGGCAAGCGUUGUCCGGAUUCAUUGGGCGUAAAGAGCGUGUAGGCGGCCUGAAAGGUCAGCUGUGAAAACUCGAGGCUCAACCUCGAGACGUCGGUUGAAACCAUCUGGCUAGAGUCCGGAAGAGGAGUGUGGAAUUCCCGGUGUAGCGGUGAAAUGCGCAGAUAUCGGGAAGAACACCCGUGGCGAAGGCGGCACUCUGGGACGGUACUGACGCUGAGGCGCGAAAGCGUGGGGAGCGAACAGG
rnacentral:rRNA from 1 species